rnacentral:misc_RNA from 1 species
GUUCCAUUUAAAAGGCCCGUGAUGACAGCUGAACCCUCAAUAUUGGUUCGACAGUUAAAUCCACAGGACCUAUUCUUGAUAUUUGCUUCAGAUGGUCUUUGGGAGCAACUGAGUGAUGAAACAGUUGUAGAUAUAGUUUUGAAGAGUCCACGAGCCGGGAUAGCAAGGCGAUUGGUGCAGGCUGCGCUGCGGGAGGCUGCAAGGAAAAGAGAAACGAGAUAUGACGACUUAAAAAGGAUUGAUAAAGGAGUGAGACGCCAUUUCCACGAUGAUAUUACCGUCAUUGUUCUGUACCUAGAUCAUCCGCUAGGUUCUUCGACUGGUAGAUUCAACAAUCAUAGGGUUGAUGACUGCACGAAUGCCCCUACUGAUAUCUUCUCAUUAGUUGUAGAUGAAGGACAAUAUUAGCUUCAUGCUUCUCUCUGAGCAGAGCAGAGACUACAGGGUGGUGAAUACUGAAUAGAGAUAAUAAAUUAUGGUUACAUGAUGUACUUGAAAUAAUA